GGGUUUUGCGACCACAAGCUUCAUGAUGUCUUAAUUGCCCCAGGAACAGCAGAUCUAACAGCUGAUGUGGACUUCAGUUAUUUGCGAAGAAUGGCACAGGGAAAAGUAGCCUCUCUGGGCCCAAUAAAACAACACACAUUUUUAAAAAAUAUGGGUAUUGAUGUCCGGCUGAAGAGACUUCAAGGUGGAAGAUAUCAGAGGAAUGCACGUCAGUCAAAACCCUUUGCAUCCGUUGUAGCUGGGUUUAGUGAACUUGCUUGGCAGUGAUAUUUCAGCUUGGACAUUUUACCCUUCAGUCGGCCCAAGAAAUCAAAAUAAAGGAAACACAUUUCAUAUACUGCAGCACUGCAGAUGACAAUCUACAAAGAACAAGUUACACAGCAAAAUAUCAGUCCAUAAAAUGAAAUCCUUCCUUAUUUAGGUUAGCUCAGUGAUUAAGGAUCUUCUUCCAUAUCAUCUGGAUUAGGAGCCAUAAUGAAGUGCUUUGGGUAUACAAGGUUAUGUGUGUAUGCAUGUAUUUCCCAGCGAGCAUCAUCACUUUCAUGUGUAAUGUAACGUUCUCCAAUGCGAGUUUCAAAUUCUCUAAGGUCAAGCCAAGUCUGAUAGUCCUAGGAGAAAAUGAAAUUGUAAUGAUGAAACAAAAGAAACAAAAUACUGUCAA
rnacentral:lncRNA from 1 species